rnacentral:misc_RNA from 1 species
UUUCCGUAGGUGAACCUGCGGAAGGAUCAUUACUGAGUGAGGGCCCCUCGGGGUCCAACCUCCCACCCGUGUUUAACGAACCUUGUUGCUUCGGCCGGCCCGCCUCACGGCCGCCGGGGGGCAUUUGCCCCCGGGCCCGCGCCCGCCGAAGCCACCUGUGAACGCUGUCUGAAGUAUGCAGUCUGAGACAAUUAUUAAGUUAAUUAAAACUUUCAACAACGGAUCUCUUGGUUCCG